GGCUUGAUGGUCUAGUAGUAUGAUUCCUUGUUAGGGCGGUGUUCUGUUAUUUCGAGGAGGUCCUGGGUUCAAUUCCCAGUCAAGCUC